rnacentral:rRNA from 1 species
AUGCCUAGAAGACUGACUUCAUCAAUACCGUGCUCAUCUUGUUCUAGCACCAAGAGAUCGAAGAUGCACCCCUUCUUCCUCUUCCUCCUCAUUUUCUUGCUUCCCCAUGAAAUCCUCUCCGGCACAGCAGCCGCCGCCUCGUGUAACCGCUGGUGCGGCGACACCACCGUCCCCUACCCCUUCGGCUUCUCCGACGGCUGCCCCAUCGCCCUGUCAUGCGACGCCGACACCUCGCCGACCCUCCCAUACACAGGAGGAGGCAGCGGCACAUCGUACCGCGUUGUCUCCUUCAACUCCACCAUCUCCACCGUCAUGGUCAGCCUCCCUGUGUCGUGCAUCCGCAGCGUCCCAGAUGUCAGGAGGGCGCUCUCGGGCGCCAAUUACGGCGUCUCCGCGCGCACCAUGCUCUCCGUCCGAGGGUGCCACAACGCGUCGGCAUCCAGCUGCAUCAUACCCGCGGGCGUCAUUUCGAGGCUGCUCGACACAGCGCGGUGCGACGGCAGCGAUGCCUCCGUGAAGUGUGUCGCCUCCGUUGCGCCGAACGCCUCCGCCGGGUUGGCGUACAGGCAGUUCCUGCGGUGGGAAGACGUGGAGAAGGCAAGCUGCAAUGACGUGCUGGCGUCGGGGGUGUGUCUGGACAUGGUGGAUGGGGUGCUGCCGCUGGCCAACGAGGUGGCGGAGCUGGCGUGGUGGCUCAACGGCACGUGCGUCGGCGGCGGCGGGGGUUGCGCGGCGAACGCGACGUGCUCCGAUGUAAAUACGCCGAGCGGGUCGGUGGGGCACCGGUGCACGUGCGUGGCAGGAAUGGACGGCGACGGGUUCUUGCCUGGAGACGGAUGCUACGUCGGUGAGCACUGCUUUCACCUGAACCUUUUUAACAUCCCCUGAGUGCAUCCCUGCGUGGUGUCUCAAGCUCAAAGCGCCGAAAACUAACACUGCUAGUCAGCGUAUUUGGCGCGUUCGUGCUUUCUCUCGGCAUCUUUUCCCUCUUCCUCGUACACCGGGGAGAAGGCGCAAUGCCACGACGAAGACAACCAAUCAGAUCCCAAAAAAGGCAGUAACACACUUCGAUGGCGAACUCGUAGAGAAGGAGCUAGAGCAAGGAGCCAAUGGACCCCGGCCAUUUUCCUACCAUGAGCUCACCAUCGCCACCGACAACUUCUCUGAUGAUAGGGCGCUAGGGAGAGGAGGCUUCGGGUCUGUCUACCGAGGGUUUAUGAGCAACAUGAAACGGGAAGUGGCUGUCAAGAGGGUUUCUGAGACCUCCCGGCAGGGUUGGAAGGAGUUCAUCUCCGAGGUGCGGAUCAUUAGUCGGCUCAGGCACCGGAACCUUGUGCAGCUCAUUGGUUGGUGCCACGGCGGCGACGAGCUCCUCCUCGUCUUAUGAGCUUAUGCACAAUGGCAGCCUCGAUUCUCAUUUGUAUAGAUCUGACUGCAUGCUGACAUGGCCUGCUAGAUAUGAGAUAGUGCUCGGUGUAGGUUCGGCGCUUCUAUAUCUGCACCAAGAGACGGAGCAACGCGUGGUGCACAGGGACAUCAAGCCUAGCAACAUUAUGCUAGACGCCUCCUUCAUCGCCAAACUCGGUGACUUUGGGCUCGCCAGGCUCAUCAAUGACGGCCGGAAAUCGCACACGACCGGCAUAGCCGGCACGAUGGGGUACAUCGAUCCGGAGAGCUUGCUGGCCGGCAGGGCGAGCGUCGAGUCGGAUGUGUACAGCUUUGGAAUUGUCCUCCUUGAGGUAGCCUCUGGGCAGCGGCCAGCUCUAGUCCAGGAAGACGGUGACGUCGUCCACCUGGUGCAGUGGGUGUGGGACUUGUAUGGCAAAGGAUCAAUUCUAGAUGCCACCGACGAGCGACUUAAGGGGGAGUUUGACAGCAGGGAGAUGGAGCGUGUUAUGGUCGUGGGGCUCUGGUGUGCGCACCCUGACCGUGCGAUGCGUCCAUCCAUCAGGCAAGCGUUGAACGUGCUGCGGUCUGAAGCGCCAUUACCAAGCCUCCCGGAUAGGAUGCCGGUAGCGACCUAUGGGCCACCGACUAAUCAUUCGAGUUCCGGAACUUUGGCGCUGAGCAGCGUCAGUGGCCGGUGA